UUCCGUGCUGUAUUCAGAGUGGUGUCCAUCAUGUGAAUUAUUUAUGAAUGACACUGCACUGGAUACAGUAAGGUUCA
ensembl:miRNA